AUUGAACGCUGGCGGCAGGCCUAACACAUGCAAGUCGAACGGUAACAGGAAGCAGCUUGCUGCUUCGCUGACGAGUGGCGGACGGGUGAGUAAUGUCUGGGAAACUGCCUGAUGGAGGGGGAUAACUACUGGAAACGGUAGCUAAUACCGCAUAACGUCGCAAGACCAAAGAGGGGGACCUUAGGGCCUCUUGCCAUCGGAUGUGCCCAGAUGGGAUUAGCUAGUAGGUGGGGUAACGGCUCACCUAGGCGACGAUCCCUAGCUGGUCUGAGAGGAUGACCAGCCACACUGGAACUGAGACACGGUCCAGACUCCUACGGGAGGCAGCAGUGGGGAAUAUUGCACAAUGGGCGCAAGCCUGAUGCAGCCAUGCCGCGUGUAUGAAGAAGGCCUUCGGGUUGCAAAGUACUUUCAGCGGGGAGGAAGGGAGUAAAGUUAAUACCUUUGCUCAUUGACGUUACCAGCAGAAGAAGCACCGGCUAACUCCGUG
rnacentral:rRNA from 1 species